AGCCAAUCUCUCUUCUGAGCAGCUCUGCUGGUCAGAGGCCCCUCCCCUAGUAUUGAUUUCCUGCUUCUGCAGAGCCAGAGAGGGGAUACUGAGAAUCUUGCAAGUUUCCACUUUCCCAGACAUGUGCUGUUUUGUUUACCUCCUGAGUCUCAUAAGCCCCCUCCCUCCUGGAGAGAAGGUUUCAAUGCUGAGGAAACUGCCGGAGAACAGUGGAUGAAGAUAAGCAGAGUCCUCCAACUGGUAGCACAGCAGAGAUUCAGACACUGCAGAAUGCUCAGCCCUAAAAUAGUCUGUGCAUCUUAUAUUCUUCCUCCUCUCAAGGCUUGGGAUCAUCAUGGAUAUGGAAAGGUGAAGGCAUUUUCACUCUGCCUUUGUACCCAUCUUGACACAUUUCUCUUGGACCUUGUAUAUCAUUCACCGUGUGUAGCAACACUGUUCGCUUACAGUAAGAAUAUUAGUUGCAGGGCUGCAAGGAAGGCUUAUUAAUGACAAGAUGCAAUCAUCAGAUUAUCAAAAGACGUGACAGUGAAUUGGAAUGUGAAUAUACCAUCCUUCUACUCAUUUUGCCUUUCCUACCUGAUGGGAAGAGACACUGGAAAAAGGCCAAACAUAAUAAGAACAGAGUAAAAUCAAAUGGAAAACAUGGCCAAUCUCUGAGGUUCCUGCUUCCAUGACAAGAAUACAAAUUCCAAGAUUCCAGUGUCUCUUCAGAGGAAUGUCCCACCUCUUCAGCAACAAGAAAGAACAGAUCAUUUCAUAAAACAACACUUUCAUGUUCAGUUUCCACUGUAGGUUUCCAGCUGACGGGAGCAUCCAUGAGUUAUACAAUGGUCUGCAUUUUCUAUGUGGUGAUUGUGAGGGUGGAACUGGUCACAGCCCUCUCUCAUCAUAGGAUUCUCUUUCCUUUCUUUAUCACCACCAACUGUGUCUGUUGCUCUGGAUUCCAUCAGCCUGUAAAAUCCCUAGUAUCUCUGCCUUAUGAUCCACAUCCUGGAAUUUUGCCAUCUUUUGCCUCCCAACCUUCGUGGAAGAAUGCUUUUUUCUUCAAAGGGUGUGGAAUGACUUAGUGCUAUCUCUUUUGGUGUUUUCUUCACACUCAUUUUCAUUUUGAUAAAAUUUUAAAUUAUUAAGUGCAGUGCUUCGGUAGACAGACACAAAGAUAAGACAAGACUAUAUAAAACCCAGCCUAGCCAUUUGAAAUAAACCAGGUCCAGACAUUACACUACUGCAAACCAUUUUUACAGCUGCAAAGGUGAGUUUAUUAUGCCCUAGGCAAACCAGAAAUCUAGCUUUGCACAAGAUAAUUUAUUGCUCUAACAAACUAUUCUCAUAUUCAUCUCAUGUUUGAAAAUCACAAUUUGUUUUUCAAGAAAUUAUUUUUUUAGUUCAAAUUAGAAACAAGCCUGCUUCACCUGUCACUCUCUGCCCCCUCUCCCUCCCCUCCUCCCCCACCCUCCAUCAAAUACCCACCCCAUACCCCCUCUGCUCCCCAGGGAGGGUAAGCAGAGGUAUGGAGGAUCCCCAAUGUCUAUAAUAUCAUCCUGGGCAAGGCCUAGGCCCUUCUCCAAGUGUUCAGGCUGAGAGAGCAUCCCUCCAUGUGGGAUGGGUUCCCAAAGUCCUUUCUUACUCCAGGAAUAAAAUACUGAUGUACUACUAGAGGGCCCAUAGUGUACUGAGGCCUCCUCAUUGAUAUCCACUUUCAGGGGUCUGGAUCAGUCCCAUGAUGGCCUUCUAUACAUCAGUCGGGUGUCCAUGCACUCCCCCUUGUUGAGGUCAGUUGUUUCUGUGGGUUUCACCAGCCUGGUCUUGAUCUCUUUGCUCAUCACUCCUCCCUCUCUGCAACUAGGUUCCAGAAUUCAGUUCAGUGUUUAGCUGUGGGUGUCUGCCUCUGCUUCCAUCAGCCACUGGAUGAAGGCUCUAGGAUGGCAUAUAAGGUUGUCAUCAAUCUCAUUAUAGGGGAAGGGCAUUCAUGGUAGCCUCUCCAAUAGUGCUUAGUUUGCCUGUUGGUGUCAUCCUUGUUGAUCUCUGGAAAUCUCCCUAGUGCCAGAUCUAUCCUCGAAUCUAUAUUGGCUCCCUCUAUUAUAGUAUUUCUCAUCUCUAUAGUAUUGCUGUCCUCUAUUCUUCCCCCCCCCCACUGAACUUUCCUGUUACCCCAUUUCCUCCUCUCCCCUCCUCUUCUCCCCCUCUUUUUCUCCCAGCUCCCUCUAUUCAGACAAAUACCACACCCCCAGAACAUCAUGAUCUGUAUUUAAAGAAAACAUUAAAUAAAGCAAGGCAGUGGUUCUGAGUCUGUCACACAUACAUUAGUUCAGGGGUAUCUUAAUAAGUAAGAAAUAAGCCCACAGUAGAGCAAGUUUCUUUAGCUUAAGAUUGGGUGGCAGCCUGUACAUGACACUCAGGAGAGAAAUAUUUCAGACCAUCAUGCAUAUUCAAGCAUUCGCUUAAAUUCUGUGCUAAAGCUGCAUGUCCUGACAUUUUCUCAAAAGCAAGCCUGUCCAUGCAAUGGAAAUUCACUUCUUUGCAACAGGGUUGUUCAGAAUAACUUCCAUAUGACAUAGUCACACAUUUGAUGAAGUUCAACAUCAAAUUGCUAUUAAAAUAAAUAUAACUACUAAAAUCAAUGGAGCACAUCUAUUAGCAAAAAUUGCCUUUUACCUUUUCUGGGUCAAUUCUGUAAACAUUUGGAUAAAAUACAGUAUGAAAGAAUACAGUGUUGUAUCCUUGGUAUUUUAAAUUCCGAUUUAUGCUCUGA
rnacentral:lncRNA from 1 species